rnacentral:tRNA from 1 species
GUAUUUCUAAUUUAAGGAGGAGAAUAUUAGUUUUUCAUGCUAAUUGUCGCAGGGUCUGUGGAAAUAUU